GACGAACGCUGGCGGCGUGCCUAAUACAUGCAAGUCGAGCGGACGGAUGUGAGCUUGCUCCCAGACCGUCAGCGGCGGACGGGUGAGUAACACGUGGGCAACCUGCCUGUAAGACUGGGAUAACUCCGGGAAACCGGGGCUAAUACCGGAUAACUCUUUCCCUCACAUGAGGGAAAGCUGAAAGAUGGCAUCUCGCUAUCACUUACAGAUGGGCCCGCGGCGCAUUAGCUAGUUGGUGAGGUAACGGCUCACCAAGGCGACGAUGCGUAGCCGACCUGAGAGGGUGAUCGGCCACACUGGGACUGAGACACGGCCCAGACUCCUACGGGAGGCAGCAGUAGGGAAUCUUCCGCAAUGGACGAAAGUCUGACGGAGCAACGCCGCGUGAGUGAUGAAGGUUUUCGGAUCGUAAAACUCUGUUGUCAGGGAAGAACAAGUACCGGAGUAACUGCCGGUACCUUGACGGUACCUGACCAGAAAGCCACGGCUAACUACGUG
rnacentral:rRNA from 1 species